rnacentral:rRNA from 1 species
AUUGAACGCUAGCGGGAUGCCUUACACAUGCAAGUCGAACGGAGUGGCUAACGGGUGAGUAAUUUAUCGGAACGUGCCCAGUAGCGGGUGAUAACUACGCGCAAGCGUAGCUAAUACCGCAUACUAUUUGAGCGGCCGAUAUCGGAUUGGCUAGAUGGUGGGGUGACGGCCCACCAAGGCGACGAUCCGUAGCUGGUUUGAGAGGAGGACCAGCCACACGGGGACUGAGACACGGCCCAGACGCCUACGGGAGGCAGCAGUGGGGAAUUUUGGACCAUGGGGGAGACCCUGAUCCAGCCAUCCCGCGUGUGCGAUGAAGGCCUUCGGGUUGUAAAGCACUUUUGGCAGGAAAGCGGUACCUGCAGAAUAAGCACCGGCUAACUACGUGCCAGCAGCCGCGGUAAUAC